AUAAGUAUAAUUAAAUAAUAAUACUAGACCGUGAUUCUAGAGUUGAAAGUUAAAGUCUUCCUACUUAUC
rnacentral:tRNA from 1 species